rnacentral:rRNA from 1 species
CUACCGGGGUAUCUAAUCCCUUUCGCUACCCUGGCCUUCGAGCCUCAGCGUCAGAUAUUGUCCAGUAGCUCGCUUUCGCCACGAGUGUUCCUCUUGAUCUCCACGCAUUUCACUGCUACACCAAGAAUUCCAGCUACCUCUCCAAUCCUCUAGCACGGCAGUAUCGGAUGCAGUUCCGGGGUUGAGCCCCGGGAUUUCACAUCUGACUUACCGCGCCGCCUACGCUCCCUUUACGCCCAGUGAUUCCGAACAACGCUCGGGACCUUCGUAUUACCGCGGCUGCUGGCAC